rnacentral:rRNA from 1 species
AAACCAACAGGGAUUGCCUUAGUAACGGCGAGUGAAGCGGCAAAAGCUCAAAUUUGAAAUCUAGCACUUUCAGUGUUCGAGUUGUAAUUUGAAGAAGGUAACUUUGGAAUUGGCUCUUGUCUAUGUUCCUUGGAACAGGACGUCACAGAGGGUGAGAAUCCCGUGCGAUGAGAUGUCCAAUUCUAUGUAAAGUGCUUUCGAAGAGUCGAGUUGUUUGGGAAUGCAGCUCUAAGUGGGUGGUAAAUUCCAUCUAAAGCUAAAUAUUGGCGAGAGACCGAUAGCGAACAAGUACAGUGAUGGAAAGAUGAAAAGAACUUUGAAAAGAGAGUGAAAAAGUACGUGAAAUUGUUGAAAGGGAAGGGCUUGAGAUCAGACUUGGUAUUUUGUGUUCCUUAUCCUUCUUGGAUUAGGUUCCUCACAGCUUACCGGGCCAGCAUCGGUUUGGAUGGCAGGAUAAUGACAUUGGAAUGUAGCUUUGCUUCGGUGAAGUGUUAUAGACUUUGUUGAUACUGCCUAUCUAGACCGAGGACUGCGUCUUUUGACUAGGAUGCUGGCGUAAUGAUCUAAGCCGC